UGUUGGCACACUAGGUGUGAGAAAAAGACCGAGAGUGGGCAGACUAUAGAAAGUAAGUAGGAAAGUGAAAGAAGAUAGUGGGUGCUGGGCAGCGAGAGGUGGAAGAGAGAGCAAGUAAUAUGUUGAGUGGAGGGUGCCAUGAAGGGAAUCAAAUAGCCAAGAGUUCUACAUGAAUGAUAUUUUCUUUUGCAGAGAAAUGAAAAGGAGGUAGUUUAUAGGUGCAGAGGGAGUGAGAGAGCAAAUGAACAGAUGAAAGUGGUUGUUGUUCUUCAAAGAAAAAUUUAAGCACAGAUGAAAGUGGUUGUUGUUCUUCAAAGAAAAAUUUAAGCUUUAAUUCGGAGAAGCUAUGGAGGAGAUCAGGAGAAGGGAUGUUGGGAUAUGGUGGGGAAUUGAAACAUGGUGCUUCUCCCAUGAUUGUGUUGAAUUGAAAGCUGAACUAAGAAGAAAGGUUCGGAGAUGCUGCAACCCGUGGGUGCAUGGAGAGAAUCAGAGAGCUGGUAGUAGCAGAAGGAAAAACCGAAGAAGGAUUGAGAGAUGCUGCUUUUGGUUUUGGGCCCGUGGGUGCAUGGAGAAAAAUUCUCCACACACCCAGGGAAGGUUUUGGAGAUCAAAGGAUCAAGAGCGGUUAAGCAGUAGCUCUGAUACCAUGAAAGGAAAUGGAAUUGCUUUGUUUGAUUGUGGUGAUUGAUUACAAAAGAGAACACAUAUUUAAACUACAAGCAUGGAGAAGACAAGAAAAUAAAAUGUGGCAGACAAGCCUCAUAAACAUGCCGAAUACAAGGUGUGGCAGACAAUAGUUCUUGGCACAUAGCACAAGGAGCAUGCUUGCUUCAGUCUGUUCUAUUACAUACACAGUCCAGCAAUACUAUCAUUCUCCUAAUUAAUGUUGGAUGUCACCUGUUAUACAUAUUUCAUUUUAUUAUUUGGUUUGCCUUCAUUUUCUUUUAAGCUUACAAAAUAAGGCUCUUAGCCAUUGAUGUAAUUUCUUUUGAUGUUGAUACAUUACUGUGUUAAGGGUAAAACUGUAAUGUUCCAACUCAAGUUAGAUAUAUGUGCUAUGGUAUAAUUACCUGUACUUGACAAUCGAUCGAUACAAUUCGUUUUCCAGCUUCGUCUCUAUUCUUCUGCUUUUCUCAGUUUUUCACACAACUCUUUCAUGGUAUCAAGAGCUCAGGUCGUUUUGUGACCUAGGUUUUGUUCGUCAAGGCCCUCUUACUUAGCCUCGUGUUCGAUUUAGUGUUCUCAAUAUUCGAUUCGGAUUUUUUUCUAUCUACAAAGAUUCAGAUAAGUACCGUAUUACUGAAGAAGAAGAUUGUUUCUACAUGUUCUUGAAGAUUGUUGAAAAAUUACAGAAAUUGAUUAAUUUCGAAGCCUUGAUUUCGUAGAUGCUGUGUUCGAGUAUGAUUUGAUGCAAGAAAUAGUUGUUGAUUCUUGAAAUUCUGUCAAGAUUGUGAUAUUCCUGAGAUUUCAAAACUCUAAUUCUUCAAGUUCUAUGUAAUUUGAUUGUUCUUGAUCGGCGUUCUAUGUAAUGUGAUUAUUCUUCAUUGAUCCAACGUCGUUUCGCUGUCAAUUGACUCAAGCUGAUCGAUUCAGCAACCCUACUGCUUCUGAAUGCCUGGAAUGUUCCUCGUCUUACUUGCUUGAUUGUGUCUGAAUAGCCUUUAAUUGGUUCGUUUUGGUAUAUUGUAUUUUGCACGAAGAAUUGGUAGACGUCAGAGAAGAUUGUACAUGAAUUGAAGUUUUGUGCCAUAGCCUUUUCUACACUUGGUUUGGUUCUCGAAUUUCUCUCAACUCAGAGGAUGAGGAGAUAGUAGUUUUUCCCUUGUGCUUGAUUUGUUUGAAUUUGCUUCCACAAUACUUGUCAUUGAGCAAACUCGGGUUGUAUUGAGCUUGGUUUUGGAGCUUCUAGGAUUUCUUUUGAAGCUUUGGAAUGAUUUGCUUGGUGGGUAUGUGGCCACGGACAGCUUACGAAUGGUUUGACUUUGUGGAGGCAUUUACAAAAGGUAGAUUGGGAAGCGCUGUGAGUUUGUUUGAGGUUUGCAGGAGAUUUCCAAGCUUGGACUGAUUGUUAUCUGGUUGCUUUCAUUAAAUGCAUUUUGCUUCAUUGCUGCCCUGAAUCAUGAAUAAGAACAUUGAGCUACAGAAUUGUCUACUCUUUAACUUCAGCAAGUUAAUCUCAGUACAGUCAGAUGACUCUAACUACGUAACAUGGAAAUUUCUGAUAGAAACACUGUUAAAGGGUUGUGGUCUGAUGAGAUAUAUCGAUGGAUCGUUCCCUUGUCCUCCAGAACACAUGACUAUGGAAGAAAAUGGGGUAAAAUGAUUCUGCCAUUAUGUCUAUACUUGCAGCUACUAUGGCCAAUGAUACUCUCUCCAUCAUUGUUGGAAGUAAGUAACAUUGUAACACUCAACUAACUUCAAUACCUGGGUAUGUUUCUGCAUCAACUCAUGCUACUAGUGCUGUGCAUGCCUCUAAUACUAUGAUGUUUACAAGUAGUGUUGCAUCUUACUACUUUCUGUUUUCUUUAAAUUGAGGCAUCUUACUAUUCAUUUUGAAGUAUCACAUAAGUUAGUGGAUAUCACAUUUGGAUGUUGGCUCUGUCAUCGAAGCAUACAACAGUUCUUGCUAAUUGAUUGUUGGCUCCUGCCUGUGCUACAAGCGGACUGAAAUGGGGGGCAAUGGCUGCAAUAAGCUGUUCCUGGCUUGGUGAAGCAGAAGAGAAGUACAUCAUCAUGUUGGUCUGCUGCAAAUUCAGUUGCUGUGGAUGAAGAGCUGGUAUAGAGCUUCGGUUCUUCAGAUCUUCAUCUUUUCUUUUUUAUUCCCAUUCCUAAGAACUGAUGAAUGUUCAAAACUUCUAAUUGUUCUUGUUUCAUCUGUCAUGCCUUUUUCAAUUUUCACAGUUGGAAACUUGGAAUGUGAUUAUAAAUUGCAUUGGAAUUGUGUAUGAA